GUCCACCUCCACCUCCUCUCACCCCAUCUGAGGAGUUGGCUCUUUCACUUAAUAAAGGUCGCCCUGUGGUCGAUGGUAUUCCAGAGGGCACUUCGUCAGACUUUGCUACCUCCCACAACAACUCAAGUGACUUGGUACAAUUUGCUGAUGGACGCAUUGUAUUAUUGGAUCCUCCUGAAACCACACAGUCUGUCACAAUUAAUGAUGAUGAAGAGACCACAUCUGCUGUGACUGAAUUAGAAAGUGCUGGGAGACCCACAGAGAAUCUAGCUGGGGAUGUACAUGCAGAUGAGGGUCCAUCUACCUCUACACAUAAUCUUAGCAGUGUAAGAACUUG